CUGUGGGGUGUGUGUGUGUGUGUGUGUGUGUGUGUGUGUGUGUGUGUGUGUGUCUCCAGCAGCAAGCUUGCCUUAAAGGCACAGACCUACCUCCUCCUGGCACUCUACAUCUACAGAGGCCAGACCCCCCCACAGCCCACAGCGCCCUACAAGACCAGCUCAGAGCCAGCCUCCCAGAGGGACCUCGUGCUCCAGGGAAGACAGGGCCUUAUUCCUGAGAAAAGCCCAGCUGGGGCACAGGGCAAGAUGGCCUGGUGGGGCGCUCCUCUUCCAACACAGACAGGGACAGGGCCGACAAGGCAGGGAGGCUGCACCCGGCACCUCUGCCCAGGCUGCCAGGGCACACGGCUGGGUGCAGUCUCUAAGUGGGCCUGAGGGGUCUCCCUGUACGGCCUCCGGCCUCUGGCUGGUGCCUCAAACAAUUCUCCCUGCACCUCAGCAGCUGAGAAAGGCCAGUCUGCUUCCUCUGGAGCCCCUCCCCCCCCACCGGAUUUGGUUCCAGAGUUUGGGUGGAGCCCAGGGAGGCUGUGACCACGACCACGACCACGGUCUCUCAGUGUUUCUGCCUCCACCUUGCUGGGGCUUCAUUUCUUCACCCAUGUGUGUCCUCCCACCCCAUCCGUGUGUUUAGUGAGCACCAGCUAUGCACCAGGCACUGUCCUCAGCUCUUGGGACAUGGCAAAGGACAGACAGGACAACAGCUUCUGAGGAACUUACCCUCGGUGGAGGGGGGGACCAGAAAUGACAAGCGACCAGCCAUGAAAGGUGAGCACUCUCCCUGAGUAUACCCCAGCCCUCUUAUACUCAGGCUCCUACAGCAUGCACAAGAGAUGCUUCUGGACUCCUUUGAGGAUAUUCAGCCGGCUGAAUGGUCUCACUAUGCAGUUCAGGCUGAUCUUGAACUCACUUUGUACCCCAGGCUGGACUCAAACUCACAGUGAUCCUCCCAUCUCAGCCUCCUGAGUGCUGGGGUUACAAGUGUGUGCCUAACUCAUUGUUGUCACCUGCAUCUGACACCAGAGCAGCAUGGAGGAAGUCACCAUGAGGGUUGGUGAGAGACAUAGCUGCAGCAGUGUGCACAGUGACCGUCCUCCAGUUGCUGUGUGAGAGCCUGGGCCCAGGGUGGUGCUGCCAGGAGGUCCUGAGGACCUGGGGAGGUCUUGAGGUUGAGAAGAGACAAUGGGAUCCUAACCCCUUCUUUCCCUUUGCUUCCUGGCUAUGAGGUGACCAGCUUGGUCUGCCACCUGCCCCUGUCUUUGCCACCCAUCCUGUACUCUAGAGGCCCAAGCACUGAGUCUGCCUGGUCUUGAACUGGGCCCUGGAAAACUAUAAGCCACAAUAAACCUUUUCU